GAAGGGGGUCCCCCCAAGGUUUGAUCCUGGCUCAGUAAGUCGUAACAAGGUAACCUUAUAGUUUGAUCCUGGCUCAAUAAAUGCCAACAAGGCUGCCUGGUAGUGGGGGAUUACGUUCCGAAAGGAACGCUAAUACCGCAUACAUCCUACGGGAGAAAGCGGGGGAUCUUCGGACCUCGCGCUAUCAGAUGAGCCUAGGUCGGAUUAGCUAGUUGGUGAGGUAAUGGCUCACCAAGGCGACAAUCCGUAACUGGUCUGAGAGGAUGAUCAGUCACACUGGAACUGAGACACGGUCCACACUCCUACGGGAGGCAGCAGUGGGGAAUAUUGGACAAUGGGCGAAAGCCUGAUCCAGCCAUGCCGCGAGUGUGAAGAAGGUCUUCGGAUUGUAAAGCACUUUAAGUUGGGAGGAAGGGUUGUAGAUAAUACUCUGCAAUUUUGACGUUACCGACAGAAUAAGCACCGGCUAACUUCGUGCCAGCAGCCGCGGUAAUACGAAGGGUGCAAGCGUUAAUCGGAAUUACUGGGCGUAAAGCGCGCGUAGGUGGUUCGUUAAGUUGGAUGUGAAAGCCCCGGGCUCAACCUGGGAACUGCAUCCAAACUGGCGAGCUAGAGUACGGUAGAGGGUAGUGGAAUUUCCUGUGUAGCGGUGAAAUGCGUAGAUAUAGGAGGAACACCAGUGGCGAAGCGACUACCUGGACUGAUACUGACACUGAGGUGCGAAAGCGUGCGGAGCAAACAGGAUUAGAUACCCUGGUAGUCCACGCCGUAACGAUGUCAACUAGCCUUUGGAAUCCUUGAGAUUUUAGUGGCGCACUACGCAUAAGUUGACCGCCUGGGGAGUACGGCCGCAGGUUAAACUCAAUGAAUUGACGGGGCCCGCACCAGCGGUGGAGCAGGUGGUUUAAUUCGAAGCACGCGAAAACCUUACCUGGCCCUUGACAUGCUGAGAACUUUCCAAGAUGGAUUGGUGCCUUCGGGAGCUCAGACCCAGUCCUGCAAGGCUUGUCGUCCACCUCGCGUCCGUGGAUGAUGGGUUAAGUCCCGUAACGAGCGCAACCUUGUUCCUUUAGUUACCAGCCCCUCGGGUGGGCCACUCUUAC
rnacentral:rRNA from 1 species